rnacentral:rRNA from 1 species
UACGUAGGGGGCAAGCGUUGUCCGGAUUUAUUGGGUUUAAAGGGUGCGUAGGCGGUCCUAUAAGUCAGUGCUGAAAUAUCCCGGCUUAACCGGGAGGGUGGCAUUGAUACUGUAGGACUUGAGUAAAGUUGAGGUUGGCGGAAUUGACGGUGUAGCGGUGAAAUGCGUAGAGAUGUGGAGGAACACCAGUGGCGAAGGCGACUCUUUGGCCUGUAACUGACGCUGAGGCGCGAAAGCGUGGGGAGCAAACAGG